CCUACGGGAGGCAGCAGUAAGGAAUAUUGGUCAAUGGAGGCAACUCUGAACCAGCCAUGCCGCGUGCAGGAAGACGGCCCUAUGGGUUGUAAACUGCUUUUGAACUAGAGAAAACCUUGGUACGUGUACCGAGUUGAUAGUAUAGUUAGAAUAAGCAUCGGCUAACUUCGUGCCAGCAGCCGCGGUAAGACGAAGGAUGCAAGCGUUAUCCGGAUUCAUUGGGUUUAAAGGGUGCGUAGGCGGACUGAUAAGUCAGUGGUGAAAUCUCUCAGCUUAACUGAGAAACUGCCAUUGAUACUGUUAGUCUAGAGUACAGAUGAUGUGGGCGGAAUAUGACAUGUAGUGGUGAAAUACUUAGAUAUGUCAUAGAACACCGAUUGCGAAGGCAGCUCACAAAACUGUAACUGACGCUGAGGCACGAAAGUGCGGGGAUCAAACAGGAUUAGAUACCCUGGUAGUCCGCACCGUAAACGAUGAUUACUCGUUGUUGGCGAUAUGACAGUCAGACGACCGAACGACGAAGACGAGUAAGUAAGUACCACCGUACGGGAGGUACGGACCCGGACCGGAACCGGUACGGAAACGUAACGAAACGUAAGUUAAGUUAGUUACGGACGGUUAGGAGGACGUUACGGACCGACGGGACGACCGACCGAGGGGAAGGGUAGGGAG
rnacentral:rRNA from 1 species